rnacentral:rRNA from 1 species
AUUAAGUUGAGUUUGAUGAUGGCUCUGAAUGAACGCUAUUCAAAUGCCUGACACAUGCUAAUCGUACGUUUGUAGUUCAACAAUUGUUAACUACAAAAGUGGUGUACAGGUGAGUAAAUGGUGAAUUGGUUACCUUAAAGUGAGGGAUAAAAUACCUUAUAACAAAAGGAGUAAUCUGCUUUAAGAUAUUAGUUGUAUCUCGGGUAGGUAGUAGGAGAGGUAAUUGCUCAACUAGCCUAAUAUCCCGUAGUCGAGGCUGAAAGGUCGAUCGACCACAUUGGAUAUGAACAAAAUUCAAUGCAUGAUAGUACAGCAGUGAGGGAUAUUGGUCAAUAGCCGAAAGGCUGAACCAGCAAUUUGAAAGAAUGGCCUUACUAGUUUUAACUAGUUUGAGGGGGGAUAGAUUAUAUGUAAUUAAUUAUGUAUAAAGGGGUCCAAGCCUUAGGCCAAAAGCCUAGGAUUAAAGUUCUGAAUAGAAUAAUGAUAAUGACAAUUUUCUAAUUCAAGUGUCUUGACAAAUUCAUGUGCCAGCAGUCGCGGUAAUACAUGAUAGACUAGUGUUAUUCAUCUUUAAUGGGUUUAAAGGGUACCUAGACGGAAGUUCAAGCCUGCGAGGGGACUGAAUUUCUAGAGUUUUAUGUGAGAAGGGGAGUACUACUGAUGGAGAGAUGAAAUUUGAUGAUAUCUUUAGGACUGGUAAAGGCGAAGGCAACCUUUUAAGUAAAAACUGACGUUGAGGGACGAAGGCUUAGGUCACGAACAGGAUUAGAUACCCUAGUAGUCUUUGCAGAAAACGCUGAAUGCUAUAGGUUAGAAUUAAAAUUUUUGCCUAUAAAUGAAAAUGUAAGCAUUCCACCUCAAGAGUAAUUCGGCAACGUAGAAACUGAAAUCAUUAGACCGUUUCUUGAAACCAGUAGUGAAGUAUGUUAUUUAAUUCGAUGAUCCACGAAAAAUCUUACCAUAACUUGAAUAGCUGGUAAAAUAUAAAAAUUAUAAUUAUUUUAUAAACGAGUUAUUAAACCUGUUCUAAAAAAGAAGGAAUACAGGAUAAUAAAUAACAGAUAAAUUUUAUCAUAUGAAUUUAUUUCAAAUAAGUCAUAUAUACCUAUGCUACAGGUGUUGCACGGCUGUCUUAAGUUAAUGUCGUGAGAUCAUGGUUAGAUCCAACAAUUAGCGUAAGCCCUUAGUUUAUUUAAAAAAAUAUAAAUUAUUAAUAUAUUUAUUAUAAGAAUAUUUAUUAUAAAAAUAUAUUAAGCAAAUAUUUUAAAUGUUUAAAUGUUUAAUAUUUUUAAUAAAUUUAAUAUUAGGAAUAAGAAGAGUAAUAUUUUAAAGAUUUAGGAACAUUACGGAGGAAUGUUUUUAAUAUUUAGGAAUAUUUAGGAAAAGGUAAUAUUUUGAUGUACAAUAUUAAAUUUAAGAAGAAAUAUUUUUAAUGUUUAGUAUUAAAUAUUUGUUUUUAUAAAUAAAUAAAUUAGUUCACUAAGAAAAUGGCGUGUGAUAACCGGGAAUAAGACAAGUCAUCAUGGCCCUUCUAUCGUAAAAAAGUUAAUGUUAUGGGCUAUAGACGUGCCACAUAUGCCUUGACAAAGGGAUGCAAAAAUGUGAGUUUUAGCUAAUCCUACAAAAAAAGGAAAUAAAAAAAAUGGAUUGUAGUCUGAAAUUCGACUACAUGAAAAAGAAAUUACUAGUAAUCGUGUAUCACAAUGGCACGGUGAAUCUUAUCUCAGAUUGGUACUAACCACUCGUCAGGCGCUGAAAAUUGUGAGUGCAAUAAGUUUGGGGGAUUCAAAUAAAAAGUAUAAGCAACUGGGCUUAUGGCAUUUGAGAAUCUUUCUUCGUAUGCACAGCUUUGAUUAGUGUUAAGUUAUUUAGGGAGUGAGGUACCCUAUUAUUAGCUUAAGAAUGGAUCAAAACUGUCAAUAUCCUAAAGCUUUACUAACAAAAUUAUAAGAGAGAGCCUUAUAGUGAAGAAAUAGUUGUAAAGAUAUCAAUCCGUCAUCGCUAUGCGAAGAUGGGCUUCUGAGAAGAAAAUGGACAAGACGGUGCUAACUCGUCAGAGCAGUUUUAAACUGUUCCCGACAAAGCUAACAGACUAAACGUUCCACGUUAGAGGUAAAAGCCCUCGAGUUGUAAACUUAAAAAUGAUAAAAUUUAAGUUGAAGCGAAGCCGAAAGGAAGACGAAGAGAUAGUCGGACCUGAUUUGAAAGAAUCAACCCUUGCAAGAGGGGGAGGAUAUAUUUAUUUUACAAUUUAUGUAUCUAUGGAAAAGGGCGCCUCAAUAAGUAUAUAAAUCUUAAGACUUGACUAUCGCAAUGCGAUGGAGAAGUAAGCCCCUUACUCGCGAAAUAUGGUUCGUGUAGUGGAAGUUGCACGGGAAUGAUUAAUUAU